GACAGAGGGUGCAAACGUUGUUCGGAAUUACUGGGCGUAAAGCGCGUGUAGGCGGCUCGGCAAGUCGGGUGUGAAAGCCCUGGGCUUAACCUAGGAAGUGCACUCGAAACUGCCAAGCUUGAGUUCUGGAGAGGAAGGCGGAAUUCUCGGUGUAGAGGUGAAAUUCGUAGAUAUCGAGAGGAACACCAGUGGCGAAGGCGGCUAUCUGGACCGGUACUGACGCUGAGGUGCGAAAGCGUGGGGAGCAAACAGGG
rnacentral:rRNA from 1 species